rnacentral:rRNA from 1 species
AGCAUCUGAGAUGAAGUAGGACUACCCGCUGAACUUAAGCAUAUCAGUA